CAAUUUCAUUUUCCGAUGAUGCGAGUUUACUCUUCCUGUGGGUGAACAGCAGGGAUUCAAUGGCCAAGGGCAUUCUGUGGAGUCACCCUCGGUUCUCCAGCUCCUGGGACAGAGUCGGCUGUGUUUGUUUUGAAGCUUGUAGGCCUGGCUUCUCACCCAACACAAGCAGCCCAGAGAACAGAUCUGAUUAAUGCCCUUCACCUCGAGCACCCUGAGUGCUGUGUUUGAAGAAGACAUGCAGCCAACAACUAUCAGCAGCUAAACUCCUGUCUGCCAGAGGUUCAGCCCAGAGGUGGCCACACUCAGACAGCCACUGAGGAGAGAGGACGAGGACACUCAGCUUUGGAAGGAAGCAGGAUACCAUCGAUCCUGCAGAUGGGACAGUAGCAGGGGACGUUCCGGACGCUCUUUCAGCCUGAGGACUCACAGUCUAGGAUUUGCCUGAAACAGUGAAAUGGGGAGAGACUGUGGAUGAAAUUAUACUCCUAAGAUAUAUGUCAUCCAGUAAAAAAGAACUCAGUUUUGGAGGUAAACAGGUUUGAGUUCUAACCCAGCUUUUUUUAUUACCUGAACAUCCUCAAGAAACAUAAAAAAAGAAAACCUUCACAAACACAGAAACAUCAGAAACAACCCUACUUCUUCAAGGCAGACUCUCCAAAGACAGAGGGAAUUUAACCUCUGUCCAGCUGAGGGCCUUGUUUGUAUGUUGGGUUCUACAUGUUUGUGCCCAAGAGAACUGGCAGAAAGGCCAGGAUGCUCAGGGGACCCUGGGCUUGGUAGGCACCUGCCACUGAACAACAGCACACUUUCUCCAGGCUCCACCCUGAGGGCAGUACAGUGCUUUGAGAAGCAGGGUGGGAAUGGUCCACGGAAAACGUGCAUCUGUGGAAGAUGGCGAAGCAGUCCCCCACCUCUGGCCAAUAGAAUUCAUCAACGAAUACAGGCACUCACCCUCCUCGGUCUGCAAUGAUCAGCACCCAACAACGGAACUAUCGUUCUUCUCAGUUGGCUUCCUGAAGUCAGGGGCUGCACUGUUUGGUUCUCCACUCUUCCUCAUGACUGUUUCCCUCAACUUGGGUCCGAUUCUGAUCACGGGCAGAGCUCCAGCCUCAGCCUGAUGGUGAGCGGUGCCACUGAAGCAGAUUGCGUGUCAGAGUUUGUCCCACCCCAGGCAAAGGUGCAGGCUUUUGUAUUCCUGCACUGGCCAUCAAUGGCUAUGAGGUGGAGGGUGGGAAGGGCCCUGGGAAAGUUCUCAAGUUCUUCUAACAAUCUGCACCAACAAGGAAGGCUCCAGUGCCCAGGGGCAAGCCUGGGAAUGUUGCAGGGGCAAACCCGUGGCAGCAAAGGAUCCAGGGCCUGGAGGUAGAGGCAGAGUUGGUGAGAGGGUUCUGAGGAGGUCUGGGCUGGGCCUCCUGUGCUUUCCUUCAACCCAAGGUUUUGGUAAGAGAUCAGUGUAAAGUGUAGGCCUGCGUGGCGCUGCUCACGCUGUCCCCCUGAUCUGGGCAGAUGGAGACAUUCACUGUCACAGUCAGAGACGGUCAUCCUGGGGUUUGGGGCCGUAGCCCCAUUAAGCAGGAGAAUGUCCCCGGCGUGGCCCUGCCCACAGCGCACAGAGUUUCCACGUGUGCAAGUGGCUGUGAGGGCAGCAGCCUGAUGUGCCUGGGUCUCUGGAACGAGGCUCUUUUAUAAUUAUAAAAGCAACAUACGGGGGCUUCCCUGGUAGCACAGUGGUUAAGAAUCUGCCUGCCAAUGCAGGGGACAUGGGUUCGAUCCCUGGUAUGGGAAGAUCCCACAUGCCAUGGAGCAACUAAGCCUGUGUGCCACAACUACUGAGCCUGCGCUCUAGAGCCUAUGAGUCACGACUAAUGAUGAGUCCACGCUCUGCAAUUACUAAAAAAAAGCCAGCGCGCCUAAAGCCCGUGCUCUGCAACAAGAGAAGCCACCGCAGUGAGAAGCCCCGCACCGCGACGAAGAGUAGCCCCCGCUCUCUGCAACUACAGAAAGCCUGUGUGCAGCAAAGAAGAGCCAACACAACCAAUAGAUAUAAAUAAAUAAAUAAGUUUAUAAAAAAAGCAAUAUAUGAAUAUGAGACAAUAAAAUGCAACACUUCUGAAUGGGUACCCCACCUCCAGAUGAGUCCUGCUACAUCUAGACUGUAGAAAAUUAUUUCUACAUUUAGAAAUAAUGUUUAAACAUUUCUGCUUUUUUUUAUGAUUAUAUAUCACUCAAUUUUAUACAUAUGUUUAUAGUUAUAUACAUAUAAUUUUUGGGAUUAUAUAUUCUUUACAUUGAAAAAUAAGGGAGCUAGUCUACUUGCUCUAUUAUCUACUUUCUCUU